UGGCCGGAAUGUUCCUUGCUGCUGAUGCAUUGGCCUCAUCUGGAGGUCCUCUUUGACACCUACCCUACUCUCUCCCUCCACUCACACUCUUAGAACUGUGCUCAGGGGCAGCGCUACAACUUCAAACACUGGUCUUCACAGGGCUUGAGUGAUUCUUUCAAGAACAGAACGCUGUGUGGAGGUUGUUGUUACUGAAACCUUUACCAUAUUUCAUUGCAUCUAAGACACAUUUUUUUGUGUGUGUGAUUUAACAUCUCUAAGGUUGGGUUAUGUUUCUUCAUCAUUGUCAGGUUAGAGUUUAAUUAGCAGCACUUUUUUUUUCCUUAGUGUCACACACAGUAAUGGUGAUGUAUCUCACAAUUGAGAUGGUCUUAGAUCUGAUGGAAUAUGGAAUCGUGUACCUGUUACAAGCCAGGCUUUUGUCUGGGUUCUACAGACAGUGGAACUCAAGACAGUACCAUCCUCUAGUGGUGUUCACAGCCCACCACAGUGGAGUCAGAAUAUAUUCUGUGGACACUACAGAUGCAGACUAAAUCACAUGCAAAGAGAAUCUGUCAGCCCUAACAAUAAGAAUGGCUCUUGUAUGAUGAGCAGGUGAGACCAGGUAAUCACCGAAGAAGGAGAGUGGUGUGUUCAUUGAAGUCUACUCAUGGAGGAAAGAAGGUAGGCAGAAAAUCAACAGGUUUUCAAAAAUAUAUGCAAAACAGGCUUUGGGGAGAAUGCCAACCCUCAGUUAACCUAAGUCCCAGUCUUGGGUACAGGUAUGCCGGUCAACUCAUGUCCCACAAAAAUGGAAACUGGGCAGAGGCUGGAAAACAGCAGCCCCAAGAUACAGGUUCCUGGUUCAUAAGAGGCAGGAGGAAAGCUGACACUAGCCCUUCCUGAAAAGAGAAAAUGAGGGUAUCCAAUAGACAGCACGUGGUAUCUGCGAUGAAUGUGGUGAUUCUGGCCAGGUACAAAAGUCUACUGUGUCAUGUGGGAGACCUUAUUAUGAAAAGGAUAUUGUGCCACUGGCGAG
rnacentral:lncRNA from 1 species